CGGACGGGUGAGUAAUGUCUGGGAAACUGCCCGAUGGAGGGGGAUAACUACUGGAAACGGUAGCUAAUACCGCAUAACGUCGCAAGACCAAAGAGGGGACCUUCGGGCCUCUUGCCAUCGGAUGUGCCCAGAUGGGAUUAGCUAGUAGGUAAGGUAACGGCUUACCUAGGCGACGAUCCCUAGCUGGUCUGAGAGGAUGAUCAGCCACACUGGGACUGAGACACGGCCCAG
rnacentral:rRNA from 1 species